UGCUGGGUAGGGGAGCGUUGUGUAAGCCGUUGAAGGUGGAUUGAGAAGUCUGCUGGAGGUAUCACAAGUGCGAAUGCUGACAUGAGUAACGAUAAUGGGGGUGAAAAACCCCCACGCCGGAAGACCAAGGGUUCCUAUCCCAUGCUAAUCAGGGUAGGGUAAGUCGGCCCCUAAGGCGAGGCUGAAAAGCGUAGUCGAUGGGAAACAGGUUAAUAUUCCUGUACUGCUGCAUACUGCGAUGGGGUGACGGAGAAGGCUAGGCAAGCGCGGCGUUGGUAGUCCGCGUGAAAGUGAGUAGGUUGGGCGUUUAGGUAAAUCCGGAUGCCCUUAAGACUGAGACACGAGACGAGACUCUACGGAGUUGAAGUUGUUGAUGCCAUGCUUCCAGGAAAACCCUCUAAGCUUCAGGUAUGCAGAACCGUACCCGAAACCGACACAGGUGGUCAGGUAGAGAAUACUAAGGCGCUUGAGAGAACUCGGGUGAAGGAACUAGGCAAAAUAGUACCGUAACUUCGGGAGAAGGUACGCCCUUGUUGGUGAUGGACUUCGCGUCCUGAGCUGGUGAGGGUCGCAGUGACCAGGUGGCUGGGACUGUUUAUUAAAAACACAGCACUCUGCAAAAUCGAAAGAUGACGUAUAGGGUGUGACACCUGCCCGGUGCCGGAAGGUUAAUUGAUGGGGUUAGCUUCGGCGAAGCUCUUGAUCGAAGCCCCGGUAAACGGCGGCCGUAACUAUAACGGUCCUAAGGUAGCGAAAUUCCUUGUCGGGUAAGUUCCGACCUGCACGAAUGGUGUAACCAUGGCCACGCUGUCUCCACCCGAGACUCAGUGAAAUUGAAAUCGCUGUGAAGAUGCAGUGUACCCGCGGCUAGACGGAAAGACCCCGUGAACCUUUACUACAGCUUGGCACUGAACAUUGAACCUACAUGUGUAGGAUAGGUGGGAGGCUUUGAAGCAUUGGCGCUAGCUGGUGUGGAGCCAACCUUGAAAUACCACCCUUGUAUGUUUGAUGUUCUAACGUAGGUCCCUAAUCGGGAUCGCGGACAGUGCCUGGUGGGUAGUUUGACUGGGGCGGUCUCCUCCCAAAGAGUAACGGAGGAGCACGAAGGUUGGCUAAGUACGGUCGGACAUCGUACGGUUAGUGCAAAGGCAUAAGCCAGCUUAACUGCGAGACAGACACGUCGAGCAGGUGCGAAAGCAGGUCUUAGUGAUCCGGUGGUUCUGAAUGGAAGGGCCAUCGCUCAACGGAUAAAAGGUACUCCGGGGAUAACAGGCUGAUACCGCCCAAGAGUUCAUAUCGACGGCGGUGUUUGGCACCUCGAUGUCGGCUCAUCACAUCCUGGGGCUGAAGUCGGUCCCAAGGGUAUGGCUGUUCGCCAUUUAAAGUGGUACGCGAGCUGGGUUUAGAACGUCGUGAGACAGUUCGGUCCCUAUCUGCCGUGGGCGUUUGAGAAUUGAAAGGGGUUGCUCCUAGUACGAGAGGACCGGAGUGAACGAACCGCUGGUGUUCGGGUUGUCAUGCCAAUGGCACUGCCCGGUAGCUACGUUCGGAAUCGAUAACCGCUGAAAGCAUCUAAGCGGGAAGCGAGCCUUGAGAUGAGUUCUCACUAGCAUGUAAUUGCUCUAAAGGGUUGUUGAAGACUACAACGUUGAUAGGCACGGUGUGGAAGCGCUGUAAGGCGUUGAGCUAACGUGUACUAAUUGCCCGUGAGGCUUAACCAUACAACACCAAAAGGGU
rnacentral:rRNA from 1 species